rnacentral:rRNA from 1 species
GGACCGUGUAUAAGUCUCCUGGGAUGGGGCGUCAUAGAGGGUGAGAAUCCCGUCUUUGACACGGACUACCAGUGCAUUGUGGUAUGCUCUCAAAGAGUCGAGUUGUUUGGGAAUGCAGCUCAAAAUGGGUGGUAAAUUCCAUCUAAAGCUAAAUAUUGGCGAGAGACCGAUAGCGAACAAGUACCGUGAGGGAAAGAUGAAAAGAACUUUGGAAAGAGAGUUAAACAGUACGUGAAAUUGCUGAAAGGGAAACGCUUGAAGUCAGUCGCGUUGGCCGGGAAUCAGCCUUGCUUUUGCAUGGUGUACUUUCUGGUUGACGGGUCAGCAUCAAUUUUGACCGCUGGAAAAAGGCCUGGGGAAUGUGGCAGCUUCGGCUGUGUUAUAGCCCCUAGUCACAUACAGUGGUUGGGAUUGAGGAACUCAGCACGCCGCAAGGCCGGGUUUCGACCACGUUCGUGCUUAGGAUGCUGGCAUAAUGGCUUUAAGCGACCCGUCUUGAAACACGGACCAAGGAGUCUAACAUGCCUGCGAGUAUUUGGGUGGAAAACCCAAGUGCGUAAUGAAAGUGAAAGUUGAGAUCCCUGUCGUGGGGAGCAUCGACGCCCGGACCAGAACUUUUGGGACGGAUCCGCGGUGGAGCAUGUAUGUUGGGACCCGAAAGAUGGUGAACUAUGCCUGAAUAGGGUGAAGCCAGAGGAAACUCUGGUGGAGGCUCGUAGCGAUUCUGACGUGCAAAUCGAUCGU